AUUGAACGCUGGUGGCAGGCCUAACACCUGCAAGUCGAGCGAGCGGCGGACGGGUGAGGAAUGUAUGUGGAUCUGCCCGAUAGAGGGGGAUAACUACUGGAAACGGUAGCUAAUACCGCAUACUAUCGGAUGAACCCAUAUGGGAUUAGCUAGUAGGUGUGGUAAUGGCUCACCUAGGCUACGAUCCCUCGCUGGUCUGUGAGGAUGACCAGACACACUGGAACUGAGACACGGUCCAGACUCCUACGGGAGGCAGCAGGGGGGAAUAUUGCACAAUGGGCGAAAGCCUGAUGCAGCCAUGCCGCGUGUAUGAAGAAGGCCUUCGGGUUGUAAAGUACUUUCAGCGGGGAGGCGUUACCCGCAGAAGAAGCACCGGCUAACUCCGUGCCAGCAGUCGCGGUAAUUC
rnacentral:rRNA from 1 species